AAAUCUUUUCGAAAGAAAAAAUCUGUUCUUAUCAGUUUAAUAUCUGAUACGUCCCCUACCCGGGGACCAUAUAUUAAAUUGAUUUUUGGAAUAGGGAGAUGGAAUAGGGGCUUGCUCCGUCCACUCCACGCAUCGACCUGGUAUUGCAGUACCUCCAGGAACGGUGCACCCCCU
ensembl:snRNA U2 U2 spliceosomal RNA